rnacentral:rRNA from 1 species
CCAGAGUUUGAUCAUGGCUCAGAUUGAACGCUGGCGGCAGGCCUAACACAUGCAAGUCGAGCGGUAGCACAGAGAGCUUGCUCUCGGGUGACGAGCGGCGGACGGGUGAGUAAUGUCUGGGAAACUGCCUGAUGGAGGGGGAUAACUACUGGAAACGGUAGCUAAUACCGCAUAACGUCGCAAGACCAAAGAGGGGGACCUUCGGGCCUCUUGCCAUCAGAUGUGCCCAGAUGGGAUUAGCUAGUAGGUGGGGUAACGGCUCACCUAGGCGACGAUCCCUAGCUGGUCUGAGAGGAUGACCAGCCACACUGGAACUGAGACACGGUCCAGACUCCUACGGGAGGCAGCAGUGGGGAAUAUUGCACAAUGGGCGCAAGCCUGAUGCAGCCAUGCCGCGUGUAUGAAGAAGGCCUUCGGGUUGUAAAGUACUUUCAGCGGGGAGGAAGGUGUUGAGGUUAAUAACCUCAGCAAUUGACGUUACCCGCAGAAGAAGCACCGGCUAACUCCGUGCCAGCAGCCGCGGUAAUACGGAGGGUGCAAGCGUUAAUCGGAAUUACUGGGCGUAAAGCGCACGCAGGCGGUCUGUCAAGUCGGAUGUGAAAUCCCCGGGCUCAACCUGGGAACUGCAUUCGAAACUGGCAGGCUAGAGUCUUGUAGAGGGGGGUAGAAUUCCAGGUGUAGCGGUGAAAUGCGUAGAGAUCUGGAGGAAUACCGGUGGCGAAGGCGGCCCCCUGGACAAAGACUGACGCUCAGGUGCGAAAGCGUGGGGAGCAAACAGGAUUAGAUACCCUGGUAGUCCACGCCGUAAACGAUGUCGACUUGGAGGUUGUGCCCUUGAGGCGUGGCUUCCGGAGCUAACGCGUUAAGUCGACCGCCUGGGGAGUACGGCCGCAAGGUUAAAACUCAAAUGAAUUGACGGGGGCCCGCACAAGCGGUGGAGCAUGUGGUUUAAUUCGAUGCAACGCGAAGAACCUUACCUACUCUUGACAUCCAGAGAACUUUCCAGAGAUGGAUUGGUGCCUUCGGGAACUCUGAGACAGGUGCUGCAUGGCUGUCGUCAGCUCGUGUUGUGAAAUGUUGGGUUAAGUCCCGCAACGAGCGCAACCCUUAUCCUUUGUUGCCAGCGGUCCGGCCGGGAACUCAAAGGAGACUGCCAGUGAUAAACUGGAGGAAGGUGGGGAUGACGUCAAGUCAUCAUGGCCCUUACGAGUAGGGCUACACACGUGCUACAAUGGCGCAUACAAAGAGAAGCGACCUCGCGAGAGCAAGCGGACCUCAUAAAGUGCGUCGUAGUCCGGAUUGGAGUCUGCAACUCGACUCCAUGAAGUCGGAAUCGCUAGUAAUCGUAGAUCAGAAUGCUACGGUGAAUACGUUCCCGGGCCUUGUACACACCGCCCGUCACACCAUGGGAGUGGGUUGCAAAAGAAGUAGGUAGCUUAACCUUCGGGAGGGCGCUUACCACUUUGUGAUUCAUGACUGGGGUGAAGUCGUAACAAGGUAA